rnacentral:piRNA from 1 species
UGACCAUGUGGCCUACUGGGACCCUUGGA